rnacentral:rRNA from 1 species
CCCGAACCCGGAAGCUAAGCCCGCCAGCGCCGAUGGUACUGCCAGGGAGACCUGGUGGGAGAGUAGGACGCCGCCGCAC